UUUCCGUAGGUGAACCUGCGGAAGGAUCAUUACCGAGUGAGGGCCCUCUGGGUCCAACCUCCCACCCGUGUUUAUCGUACCUUGUUGCUUCGGCGGGCCCGCCUCACGGCCGCCGGGGGGCACCCGCCCCCGGGCCCGCGCCCGCCGAAGACACCAUUGAACGCUGUCUGAAGAUUGCAGUCUGAGCAUCUUAGCCAAAUCAGUUAAAACUUUCAACAACGGAUCUCUUGGUUCCG
rnacentral:misc_RNA from 1 species